rnacentral:lncRNA from 1 species
UAUGUGUGUGUGUGUGUUUUUUAACAGGGAAGCAAAGGGAACCCAGGCCUUCCAGGACUUCCUGGCCCUGCUGGUUAUCGUGGCCAGAAGGGAGACAGGGGUGCAGUUGGUUUUGAUGGGCCCAAAGGAGACCAGGGACCUGCAGGUGCAGAAGGAACUUCAGGAGAGAGAGGAGACGUGGGUGAAGAAGGAGAACCAGGAGAGAAAGGAUCGACUGGCCCACCAGGAGAGACAGGAAAUAAAGGACCUGAGGGAAGCCGAGGACUCCCAGGAAAAGAUGGCAAGCAAG